UCCCUGGUGGCCUAGUGGUCAGGAUUCUGGGCUUUCCCAUUGCCAUGGCCCAGGUUCAAUCCCUGGUCGGGGAA
rfam:Ovis aries breed Texel chromosome 11, whole genome shotgun sequence.